rnacentral:rRNA from 1 species
AACUCAAAGAAAUUGACGGGGGCCCGCACAAGCGGCGGAGCAUGCGGAUUAAUUCGAUGCAACGCGAAGAACCUUACCUGGGCUUGACAUGUUCCCGACGAUCCCAGAGAUGGGGUUUCCCUUCGGGGCGGGUUCACAGGUGGUGCAUGGUCGUCGUCAGCUCGUGUCGUGAGAUGUUGGGUUAAGUCCCGCAACGAGCGCAACCCUCGCCCCGUGUUGCCAGCGGAUUAUGCCGGGAACUCACGGGGGACCGCCGGGGUUAACUCGGAGGAAGGUGGGGAUGACGUCAGAUCAUCAUGCCCCUUACGUCCAGGGCUUCACGCAUGCUACAAUGGCCGGUACAACGGGAUGCGACAGUGCGAGCUGGAGCGGAUCCCUGAAAACCGGUCUCAGUUCGGAUCGCAGUCUGCAACUCGACUGCGUGAAGGCGGAGUCGCUAGUAAUCGCGAAUCAGCAACGUCGCGGUGAAUGCGUUCCCGGGCCUUGUACACACCGCCCGUCAAGUCAUGAAAGUGGGCAGCACCCGAAGCCGGUGGCCUAACCCCUUGCGGGAGGGAGCCGUCUAAGGUGAGGCUCGUGAUUGGGACUAAGUCGUAACAAGGUAGCCGUACCGGAAGGUGCGGCUGGAUCACCUCCUUU